GACGAACGCUGGCGGCGUGCUUAACACAUGCAAGUCGAACGGUGAAGCGCCUUCCUUUUUGGUGGGUGUGGAUGAGUGGCGAACGGAUGAGUAACACGUGAGUAACCUGCCCCCUUCUUCUGGAUAACCGCAUGAAAGUGUGGCUAAUACGGGAUAUUCUGGGUCUGUCGCAUGAUGGGUCUGGGAAAGAUAUUGUUUCGGUGGGGGAUGGGCUCGCGGCCUAUCAGCUUGUUGGUGGGGUGAUGGCCUACCAAGGCGGUGACGGGUAGCCGGCCUGAGAGGGUGGACGGUCACACUGGGACUGAGACACGGCCCAGACUCCUACGGGAGGCAGCAGUGGGGAAUAUUGCACAAUGGGCGCAAGCCUGAUGCAGCGACGCCGCGUGAGGGAUGGAGGCCUUCGGGUUGUGAACCUCUUUCGCCAGUGAAGCAGGCCUGCCUCGUUUGUGGGUGGGUUGACGGUAGCUGGAGAAGAAGCGCCGGCUAACUACGUG
rnacentral:rRNA from 1 species